rnacentral:rRNA from 1 species
ACUCAAAGGAAUAGACGGGUCCCCGCACAAGCAGCGGAGCGUGUGGUUUAAUUCGAUGAUACACGAAGAACCUUACCAGGGUUUGACAUGAGGGUGGUAGGAAUCCGAAAGGUGACCGACUCUUCGGAGAGCCCCCACAGGUGCUGCAUGGCUGUCGUCAGCUCGUGUCGUGAGACGUUCGGUUAAGUCCGCUAACGAGCGCAACCCUCGUCGUGUGUUACAAGUGUCACGCGAGACCGCCGGUGUCAAGCCGGAGGAAGGUGAGGAUGACGUCAAGUCAGCAUGGCCUUUAUAUCCUGGGCUACACACACGCUACAAUGGCCAGCACAAUAGGUAGCGAAACCGCGAGGUGAAGCCAAUCCACAAAGUUGGCCUCAGUUCAGAUUGUAGGCUGCAACUCGCCUGCAUGAAGAUGGAGUUGCUAGUAAACGCAGGUCAGCACUACUGCGUUGAAUACGUUCCCGGGGAUUGCACACACCGCCCGU